AUAAAACUAUAUAUUCCAUCUUUUUAGGUUUAACAAUGGCCUUAAAUUUUUCCUGUUACAAGAUAAGAUCAUGGUAAUAAAUAAUAAUAGUAUAUUAUUCCUUUUAAAAUAUGAAUAAACCUAACUCCUAACUAUAAUGAUAGUAUAAGUAUGAAAUAAAUUAUUUAUAAUUUAUAAAUAUAUAAAAUAUUAAAAGGAACUCGGCAAAAAUGAGCAACGACUGUUUAACAAAAACAUAGCCUUUUGAAUUUAUAUAAGGUCAAGUCUGCCCAAUGUUAUUUAUUAAUCAAUGGAUACUAACUGUAUAAAGUAGCAUAAUAAUUUGUCUUUUUAUUAGAGACCGGAAUGAAUGAAAUUACGAAGCUCAGCUGUCUCCUAAUAUUUAACAAAAAUUGAUUUAAAAAUGAAUAAUCUUUUAUUUAUAUGUAGGACGAUAAGACCCUAUAGAGUUUUAAUAUAAUAGCUAUUGUAUUUAUAUCUAUACUAUAUAUUUUUGUUGGGGCAACAUAAGAACAAAAAAAAUAUUAACCUUAUANNNCNUUAAAAAGAAAUAAACCAA
rnacentral:rRNA from 1 species